GCGGGAGUGGCGGAAUUGGCAGACGCGCUAGACUUAGGAUCUAGUGAGCAGUGCUCGUGGGGGUUCAAAUCCCUUCUCCCGCACCA
rnacentral:tRNA from 1 species